AUUUAUAUAGUUUAACUUAAAACAAUUCAUUUUCAAUGAAUAAAUGAAUCCCUAUUCUAUAAAUA
rnacentral:tRNA from 2 species